rnacentral:rRNA from 1 species
CGGGACACGUGGUAUCCUGUCUGAAUAUGGGGGGACCAUCCUCCAAGGCUAAAUACUCCUGACUGACCGAUAGUGAACCAGUACCGUGAGGGAAAGGCGAAAAGAACCCCGGCGAGGGGAGUGAAAAAGAACCUGAAACCGUGUACGUACAAGCAGUGGGAGCACAGAGCAAUCUGUGUGACUGCGUACCUUUUGUAUAAUGGGUCAGCGACUUAUAUUCUGUAGCAAGGUUAACCGAAUAGGGGAGCCGAAGGGAAACCGAGUCUUAACUGGGCGUUAAGUUGCAGGGUAUAGACCCGAAACCCGGUGAUCUAGCCAUGGGCAGGUUGAAGGUUGGGUAACACUAACUGGAGGACCGAACCGACUAAUGUUGAAAAAUUAGCGGAUGACUUGUGGCUGGGGGUGAAAGGCCAAUCAAACCGGGAGAUAGCUGGUUCUCCCCGAAAGCUAUUUAGGUAGCGCCUCGUGAAUUCAUCUCCGGGGGUAGAGCACUGUUUCGGCAAGGGGGUCAUCCCGACUUACCAACCCGAUGCAAACUGCGAAUACCGGAGAAUGUUAUCACGGGAGACACACGGCGGGUGCUAACGUCCGUCGUGAAGAGGGAAACAACCCAGACCGCCAGCUAAGGUCCCAAAGUCAUGGUUAAGUGGGAAACGAUGUGGGAAGGCCCAGACAGCCAGGAUGUUGGCUUAGAAGCAGCCAUCAUUUAAAGAAAGCGUAAUAGCUCACUGGUCGAGUCGGCCUGCGCGGAAGAUGUAACGGGGCUAAACCAUGCACCGAAGCUGCGGCAGCGACGCUUAUGCGUUGUUGGGUAGGGGAGCGUUCUGUAAGCCUGUGAAGGUGUGCUGUGAGGCAUGCUGGAGGUAUCAGAAGUGCGAAUGCUGACAUAAGUAACGAUAAAGCGGGUGAAAAGCCCGCUCGCCGGAAGACCAAGGGUUCCUGUCCAACGUUAAUCGGGGCAGGGUGAGUCGACCCCUAAGGCGAGGCCGAAAGGCGUAGUCGAUGGGAAACAGGUUAAUAUUCCUGUACUUGGUGUUACUGCGAAGGGGGGACGGAGAAGGCUAUGUUGGCCGGGCGACGGUUGUCCCGGUUUAAGCGUGUAGGCUGGUUUUCCAGGCAAAUCCGGAAAAUCAAGGCUGAGGCGUGAUGACGAGGCACUACGGUGCUGAAGCAACAAAUGCCCUGCUUCCAGGAAAAGCCUCUAAGCAUCAGGUAACAUCAAAUCGUACCCCAAACCGACACAGGUGGUCAGGUAGAGAAUACCAAGGCGCUUGAGAGAACUCGGGUGAAGGAACUAGGCAAAAUGGUGCCGUAACUUCGGGAGAAGGCACGCUGAUAUGUAGGUGAAGUCCCUCGCGGAUGGAGCUGAAAUCAGUCGAAGAUACCAGCUGGCUGCAACUGUUUAUUAAAAACACAGCACUGUGCAAACACGAAAGUGGACGUAUACGGUGUGACGCCUGCCCGGUGC